ACUUUUGAAUUCUGUUUUAUAUCAAGCUAUAAAAACCUGGAUCCUGUUCAACAUACAUACAAAAGCAGUACUCUAAAAAAUAAUUAUUAUUAUAUUAACAAUAUCAAACACGCUAACUCCUACACACGUACAAAGACCUUGGGCAUCCUUUAUACCGGCCACUUCCUGGCCACAGCUUUGUAAGGCAGUACCUGGGAAAAGGGGACGGACCCAAGAGAGCCGGCCCCAAAUCCUGACUCAGCACUGCAGAGGCAUCAGCCGGGCUGAGUCAUGCCUGAGUCCGAAGGGCCCCCUCUCAGGCUGAGAAGGAACUUUCAGGCCCAGGGAGGAGCAGAGCCUUAGGGGGAGCACAUGCCGAGCAGGAAAACGAGCUCACAUUUUCCUGGGGUAGAGCGAGGUGCCCGGCAGGGCAGGGGAUGAACGGAGGGUGCGGUGGGCAGAAUAACGGCCUCCCAAAGAUGUCCACGUGACAGUCCCCAGAGCCUGUGACUAUGUUAGGUUACACAGCCAGUGGGAACUAAAGUUGCAGAUGGAACUAAGGUGGCUAAUCAGCUGACCUGAAAAUAGAAAGACGACCUGGGUUCUCUGGGUAGGCGCAAUGUGAUCAUAAGCGUCCUUAAAAGCGGUAGAGCAGGCCGGGUACAGUGACUCAUGCCUAUAAUCCCAGCACUUUAGGAGGCUAAGGCUACAAGAUCCCUUGAGCCCAGGAGUUCCAGACAAGCCUAGGCAACAGAAUGAGACCCUGUAUCCACAAAAAAUAUGUAGCUGGGCGUGGGGGAUUGUCUCAGGGGACUGAGACAAGAGGAUCACUUGAACCAGGAGGUCCAGGCUGCAGUGAGCCUUGAUGCCAUGACCAGGCCACUGCACUCCAGCCUGGGCAACACAGCAAGACCCUGUCUCAAAAAAAAAAAAAAAAAAGUGGUGGAGGGAGGCAGGAGAGGGGAGGCCUCAAUGAGGUGACGGGAAAAAGAUUCAACUACCCACAGCUGGCUCUGAAGAUGGAGGAGCCUGAAGUCAAGAAUUACGGUCAGCCUCUAAAAAUGAAAAGGCCAGAAAUGAAUUCUCCCCUAGAGCCUCCAGAAGGAGUGCAGGACUGCCGACACCCAGAUUUGAGCCCCGGGUCAGCCUUCUGACCCGCAGAACUGGAAGACCUCGUUUUGAUCCACGAAGUUUGUGGAAACCUGUCACGGCAAUAGGAAACAAAUACAGAGGCCAAAGGGUCAACAGUGAGAGGUCAAGCUUGCCCUGCCCCUGCCCAGACCUCAGCCAGACUUCUGGGUGGCAGGGCCCACGGUGGCACCCCCAGGGCCUGUCCCUGCCUUGGGGAAGGGGGAGCCUGAGAGGACCCAGGAGGUCUUGGGCCCUUCGGUAGUAGACACCAAGCCCUCGGGGGACCACCCUCUAGUUGAGGCCUUGGGGGAUGAAGAGGGAGGGCUCAGGGCCCCAUUGCAGGGCCAGCCUGUAGGGGCCGUGGGGCCACCUGGAUGUGACGUCUAAUGCUGGCGGUGCUCACAGCUCGCCACAGGACCCUAAAAGCCCCUGCCAGACGAGAGCUCAUCUUUUCCUUCUUUCUCUUCCAGUUCUGUCUUCCAUUCCACCAUUGCUGAAUCCCGCUCACGGCGGCCCUGGGCUGCAGAGGGCAGAUGGGUGAGGCUCGGCCCCUGUCUCCAGAGAGCUGAAGAGGGCCCUCGGCCCCACCCACGAGGAGGACAGUCAUGAGGCCGACUGUGGAGGGGCUCUGGACAGAGGUGUCCGGGGAUCCCUGAGCCUGGCUGCACUCUCCCUCCUGGUUCUUUCCUUGCGUGCACACGAUCAGCUAUCGUUUACAAAGAGUCCUUGGUGUUGCCUGGUUGGCUGCCCAGGAUGGGAGCUCCUGCCCCCAUCGGACAUGUAAACAAACCAAGGUCUGUCCAGUUCCAGCUGACAGGGCCUGCACCUCCGCCAGGGCUAGGCAGAAGUAGCAUCAGAGCACAGGAGACCCGGGAGGAACCGAGAACCAGCGCUGCUCUUAACAGCUCCCAGCGGGGUGUGCCCAAGGCUUGCUGGGCACUCACAGGCAGGUCAGGCCACAGGAAAAGCUAACCAACCUUUAUAAGGGAAAAUAGGGGCCGGGAGGGCUCCUGCGCCCCCAUGCUGACGUCCAAGAUGCUCCGGAUGCGCUUGACCUCACUGUUGGAUAGGUUCCCCUUGAUGGCCAGGAUAGCGCUCAGGUGGCCUUUGCUGGCAAAGAGAGCAUCCUGUCAGCCCAGCCUGUCACCCACACCCCUACUCACCAGCUCCCUGCACUCCCGGCCAGUGCCACAGGGCCCGACAGCCAACGCCCGGCCCACGAGGGGGCUGCACUUCACUCUCCCUCACCCAUGCCCUCCACCUGAUGGUCCCAAGAGCAGCCAUGCCCCAGCCUGCUUCAGGCCUCCGCACCGGCUGUUCCCCUGCAAUGUUCUUCCCAGGCCCUGAGAUGACCGCCUCUUCCCACCCCUUAGGUCUCCGCUAAGAUGUCCACCCCCAAAAGGCUUUCUUGUCUCUAAAGUCGGCACCUCCUAUCAUUCACAACCUUGGUUAAACCCUAUUUACAACUUGUAAUUGUCUGUUUCUUUGCCUGAUUAUGUCAUUAGUAUUGCUGGCCCUCAACAGAAUGAGCUACUUAAGGGAGGACUGAGACCUGGCUUCCCUUGUACUUCAUUGCAUCCUGGUAACUAGAACAGAGGCUGACACCUAGCAGACUUCUCCAUAAUUGUUGGUGGCAUAGGUAGAUGGAUGGUGGGUGGGUGAGCAGAUGGAUGAGAGCUAGAUGGGUGGAGGGAUGGGAGCAUGGAUGAGUGAGUAGAUGCAUGGGUGGAUGGGUGGGUGGGUGAGUGGUUGAGUGGAUGGAUAGCUAAAUGGGUGGAGGGGUGGAUGGAUGAGUAGAUGGGUGGAUGGGUGCUUACAUGGGUAGGUGGAUGAAUAGAUGGAUGGAUAGACGGGUGGGUGGGUGGGUGGGUGGAUGGGUAGACAGGUGAUGAGUGGGUGAGAAGAUAGACGGAUAGCCAGAUGGGUGAAGGAAUGGGUGGAUGAGCAGAUGGGUGCUUGUAUGGUGGGUGAAUGAAUGAAUGGGUGGAAUGGAUCAGACAGGGACUGGACUUGGCGAAGCUGGGGUCAACCCUGUCAAGACCCAUUCAAACUUACCCUAACAUGUCAGAGGACCCAGCCCAGGAAGAAACAAUGUCCCUGGCCCACCAGAACUUCAGGCAGCCAAGGGCUAAGCCUCCACUCCCGAAUAUGAGCCCUGGUCCCAGAGCAUAGGCCUAGGCCGCAGAGGCCCCCCAGGCUGGGUGAAGCUGGCCUCUCUGGUCUCAGUCUCCCCUGUGAGAGGCAGUGUCAGGUAAAGCUAAGAGUGUGGGCCAUGCAGCCAGACACUAACUAGCCGUGUCACCUUGGACACAUCCUGUGAGCUCUCCAGGCCUCCUCUGUGAAACGGGAAUGGGAAGUAUUGUCCUCGUAGUGCUGUGGUGAAGUCAGGGUAGCAGGUGGCAUAAGUGGCCACCUCAAUCUUGAUGGCACUGGGGUCCUGCAGGCGAAUGAUCUCGGCCAGCGUAGGGAGAGCAGGCUGCAGCCAGGUCGCCGGGGAGCCCUGCAGGAGUGGGUGUGGUUGGAGGGACCCAGGGGUCCAGAGGCUCGGGUCAGCGACUCGUUGGGCUUAGAGAGGCACCAGCGGCCUAUCUCCGACCCUGAAAGGGCUAGGGGAGAAGAGGCAGCCAUUUCAGAGGGGCUUGGGAGAGGUGGGCAGCGGCUUACGUGCUGGGUGCAGAAGUGCUGGAUGGUGUCAGCAUUGGCCAGGAUGUACCCAGCCAGCUGCUGCUGCUGCUCGGCCGUCUUGAGGACCAGGCGCCCCUUGCUGAGUUGGAUGAUGUACUCCUUCACCAGGUGCAGGUGCAAGGCCUCCAUGAGCUCCUGGGAGGGCAAGCAGCCAGGGGCGUGUGAGCUGUCUGCUGAUGGGGAGCUCGCCACCUCCCUUGAAGCCUUGUAGCCAGGCCUCCAGAGAGAGGCAGAUGCCAGAGCAAAAGACUGCACACGUGCUCGUGCGUCCACAUGUGUGCGUUCACAUGCUCAUGCGUUCACAUGCGUGUGUGUUCACAUGUGCAUGCGUUCACGUGUUCACAUGUGUGUGUUUACAUGCUCGUGCCUUCACGUGUGUUCAUAUGUGUGCAUGUGUUCACAUGCUCGUGCAUUCACAUGUGUGUGUUCACAUGCUCGUGCGUUCACAUGUUCGUGCCUUCACGUGUGUUCACAUGUGCACGUGUUCACAUGCUCGUGCAUUCACGUGUGUUCACAUGUGCGCGUGUGAGCACAUGUGCGUGAGUGUACACAGACGUGCUAGUGUGCGUGUCCGGGCUGCCCCCAACUCCCCAAGACCCAGCCACCAGCCCAGAGCCUCCUCACCUCCCGGAAACAGCCCUGCAGCUCUGAGAACUCAGGCAGCCUCGUGUCUACAGUGGCGAUGAUGUUUUCCAGGGUCUCCACAGGGGCCGCCCAGCGGGUGUGCGUGAACCUCUUGAACAGUGGCUGAGACAGGAGAGGCAGGAUGUCUAGUCACGCCCUGGAGAGGAAGGGCUGCCAGCCGCAGACACGCAGACACGCAGACACAGACACACACCGACACAUGUGCCUGGUGGAGGGGCGGGGGGCACUCAAGGACUCCCAGGGAACCCGGGCCAACCUCAGGUCCCUGCUCACAGACAGGAAGUGGGAGCCGGCUCUGUGCACCCUUAUCCAAGGUCACCCAGUGCGGCUCAGGAGCCAGGAGAGCCUGUCUGCCGGCCCGGAGGCCAAGUCCACUGCCACUUAAAUAAAUAAAUUCCUUCAUAAACAAGACCUUGUGCUUGGCUGGGCCAGGGAGAUCAGUACCAGGGGAUGUGGGGUCACCGCUCGGGCUUCCACCACACUCAGGCCACCCAUGGCCGCUAGUCCCUGACACCGGGAAGAGAACCUCUCCCCUUCCUUUUGAGAGACCCCCCACUUUACACCCUGCUAAAGGAACUACUUGUUUUCACAGCAUUUUCUGUGGAUUUCUUGGCCCAUAACAGAUAUAACCCCAGCUGCCGAUGACCCUGAGCCUCAGUUGCUGGGAGUCAGGCGCGGGGAUGGGGGUGGAUAGGAGGGGCUGAGGGGAUUGAAGGAAAGGUGUCUGCAGGCUUGGGACUGGGCUGUGUCUGAAUCGGGGAGGGGCAGUGAAACUUUUCCAGGCCCUCCCAGCCCCAGGCGGCCCCUCUCAGGUGAAACCCCAGGACAUGAUCGGCGGAGUUCAGAGCCUGCUAGGGUCCCCAACCGGGCAUCACCGCUGCACCAGAGCUGGCCCACGGUGCCGUCCACAGGCCUGGAGCGUGUCUUCCCCACAUCUUUGCUUCUGCCACUCCUCCCUGGGGGCACCUCCCAGUCCCUCCCUGGGAACCCCCCAACACUGGGCUCCUGAGGGCAAGAGGCUCCCGCUACCUUCAGGUCCUCAUGCAGGUUCUGGAGCAGGGUGUCAAAGCCGUGGCUCUUGAGCUCACCCAGGGGGCCCAGCAGGAGGCUCAGGGUGUCCUGGGGUACCUGCCAAUUCUGCUCCAUGGACAUCCUGGAAGGUGGAGGCAGAGAGGUCACCCCAGCCCUGCUCAGCCUAUAGCCCCAUACCCAGGGAGCCAGACAGCCCCCUCUCUUCACUCUAGAACCCUCAAUGGCUCCCCAUUCUCUAUGGGAUCAAGUCCUCCCAUCCAUGUUCUCCAUGCCCUCAGGACACUCCUCCACUACAUCCCCUUGUAACUGGGGGCAAGUGAGCCUCCUCCAGUGGUUUGCCCAUCUGCCUAAUAGACAGAUCACUAUACCUACUUCACAGGGUUGCUUUAAGGAUAAGAUAAUGGGUGAAACAUCUGCCUGUGUGCUUGCCCCAGCCAGCACUUGGGAAAUGUUUGCUGCUGCUGCUGCAGGCCGUGGAGUCCUCACACAUGUUGCUGGUUUGAAUUCCACUUCUUGGCCUAAGCAGCUCCUCCUCCCUCCACCUUCCAGCUCCCCUCUCCUGCCCGCUGAGUGACUCCCACUCCCGCAAGCCCCUCCCAACACUCUCACCGGAAGGACAGGCAGUUGUUGAUGUUGGCAAUAACAUUGGCCCUGUAAUUCGUCAGCUGCUUGCCUCUCUCCAGAAAUUCAUUAAAGGCGCGCUGGUAGCUGGCGAAACCAGAAGGGGCACAUUCAGGACCAGCCCAAACACUGGGACCACAGCAGCAGCCUCCCUGCCCUCCCUGCCAGCUCCUGGGGUUCACUUUUCUGUUUGGCUGCCCAUAGCCAAGGGAGGGGCCGCUAGCCCCUGGGCAUCAUGGAACUGGCUUCACAAGCUAAGGCUUGGGCUCCUGAAGAGGGUACCAGCCCAUCUCUGCUGCUCCCAGGCCCUCUCUAGAGUUGGGAGACCAGGUAGGAGUGAGCGUGUGGUUGGCUGGAGAAGCCCUCAGAGGUCGAGAGGGAGAGAGCAGAGAGAAUUCAGGUGGUGGAGACUAGGAGUGUUGUAUGAAGGGGUGGCGGGGUCUCAGUCCCUCCUGGGGUAUCCUCUUUGAAGCUAGAGGCUGCUCUGCUGAGAGCUUUGCUGAUGGGGUGGGCGCAAGAGGCUCCCACGUUGAAUCCUGGUGGAGGUCAGACCACCUGAGGCUCUCAGUGCCCUGGCUGAGUGGGAAACAACUCCUGGCUCAGAAUGACAGGGACAGGGGUAGAGGGCGGGGAUCCAGCUCAGCUCCCCACCUGAGGCACUAGGGAGGGGCCGUGGCUCUGAGAGCGGUGGCUACAGGGACCCCAUCCUGGGCACACACCCACCUCCUCAGGAACGCAGGCAGCUCCACCAGCAGCACCCGCUUUAUCUGUGAGCCCAAGUCCAGCGUGAUGCUCUCGGCCUUGGCCUGGGCCUGGGAGGUGAUCUGCAGGGUGGUGGUGGGUGAGCUGAGCAGGGGCUCGCCUGGACAAGGGGGCAGGGGACGGGGAGGAAACAGGCGGGAACAGAGGGGGUGCCCCGAGGUGGGCAUGGGUAUGCACACAGGACGGAAUGUGCGUGGGGCUCCCCAUGCACGUGCACGGGCGGUACGUGUGCCCUGGGGCAGAUUGCAGUACCUGGAUGAUGUCGAUGGCCAGCUCGCUGUGGCAGUGGCCGUCCAGCCUCUGGGGAGGCACAUCCUCAGCCCAGCGCCGUGCCUCUAGCUCCAGAGCUCGGUCCAUCAACUCCCUCACAUUGGCCUGGAGGAGGAGGGGCAGGUCACUGGGGCACUAUCCCUCACCUCGCUCACCUGGAAGACCCGUCAAGCUCCCUGCCCAUGUCCUGUCUGUCUCCGAGCCUCUCCUCUGCUGCCUCCCUGCCCCUCCCUGGCCCAGGUGGAGACUCACCGCCUCACUGGACAGGAAUGUGGCCUCCAGCAGUCGGAUCUGCCUGGGGGGCAGGAGGCUCCCGAGCCCCAUACCCUGCAGCUCACCCACCAGCUUGGGGCUGUUGAUGAUGUCACUGCAGGCAGGGGAGGCUGGCAUGAGGACAACUAUACCAAAUCAGCACCACCACUCAAGCUAGAGCCCAGGCCCUCAGCCUUGGUCUCUGGCAGGCCCAGACUGCCCAGCACACCCUCCCGCACCCCCACCCGGUCCCCAUUUCAGAUGAUGGGUCCUCCAUCUACUUAGUUUGGUUUGGAACAGAAACUCUGAAGUCAUCAUGCCUCCUCUGACUCUCUCACCACCCCCCCCCCAUUAGGUCCUGCUCCAAAAUAGCCCCCAAAAUCAGCAGCCUCAUGCCACUCUGGCGCCCUGGCCGGCUCCCAUCAGCUCCCCGCUGGCUCACUGCAAAAGCCUCCUCCCGGCCUCUCUGCUCCUUCCCUCACCUCCAACAAUUCCUUCUUCACCCAGCAGCCAGAGCCACCUUUAAGAUCUGAUCUUCUUCCUGCUCCAAGACUACCUGUCACCCAGAUAAAACCCUGCUCCUACUCACAGCAGCCCUGGAAUCCAGCCAGCUCCCAGCCCACUGCGCUCCAGCCCUGCAGGUCUUGGGCAUCUCACCAGCCCCGGCCACCUCCCAAUCCCAGGGGUAGGCCAGAAUGGGCAGGAAGGGCUGCCCCAAACUGCUCCACAGACGCAUCUUGGCUCACUGUCCUGGCGCCUCUGCAGCGCCCCAGAGCUCCCAGGGGACUGCCCAGCCCUGGCACUUCCUAAGGGCCCUUUGUCUGCCUAGAGGUUUACAAAUGACCUUCUCUCUGCCCCUCACCCAAUCCAGAUGCAGCUGUGUCCCUCCGUUCCCCACAUUUCUGGCACACAGGCUUCAACGAUGCCCCCCUGGGCACCCUCUCACCAGGGCUCCAUGCCCAGCUUGGCUUUAGUUGCCUGUUGCUAACCCCAGGCCAGCAGACCCCGAGGUCACUGGGACAGAAAGACUGGCAGGCAGGGGUGCAGGUGCCCGGCAUUUCCUGGUGAGUCAGGACGAGCAAGCGGGAACUGGCUCUGGGCUGGGUUAUCUCUCCCGUGGCCCCUGCCCUGUGCCAGUUCCCCUAUGCCCUGCUGACUCCUCUCCCACCCUCUCCACUGGACCCUUUCUCUAUCCUUCUGCCAGAGGCUGACCCUUCAACACGAACUGAGCCCACAGGCCACCCAAGGCCCCCGAGACGGCAGACACUGCCCACACUGUCUAUACCUCCAGGCUUCCUUCCUAAAGUUUCACACUAGGAUCUGGGGCCAGCAGUGGCCAAGCCCCACAAUAACAGCCCCUGGACUCCCCCGCCCUGGGCCUUUCCACACUGCAGUAAGCCUCUCUCCAUGCAGACCGUGCGAAUGACGGGCACGCCCAGGGAUCUAUGGAGUCAAGGGACGCCUGAGGCUGUACUCAGCAGGGGUACCAGCUGCACAGCCAGCCUCCCACCUGAGGGGCUCCAGCUCUGCGGCGGGCUCACAGGGUAACCCUACACAAUGGGGGUCUAACAAGACACGUGGCCCUAGCCCAUCACUUGGAACUCUCCUGCCUGGGGGUGCCCGCAUAGCUCUGCUCAGCUCCAGAGUGCCCUGGAAGAGGACAUGCUCAGGAGCACCGACCUUCCUCUCACCUUCUCCCCUACCUGCCCUAUCACCCCUCCUCCUGCCUCCUGGCCUGAUUCCCUGGCUCAGAGAAGGACCGCUGGCUUUCACCUCCUCCAGGCUGGCUUCCCUGACUUCUCCAGGCCUGCUUUGGGCCCAUGCUCUGCACGGGGCCUGGCCUCUGCUGCCACAGCCCUUCCAGCUCUGGAUGGUUAUUGAUUGCUUUGCCCCCUCCUCAGACUGGGCGCUCGUGAAUGAAAUCCCUACCAUUUUCUGUGCCUCAGUUUCCCCAACAGCAGAAUGUGACUGAGGCCCAGGAAAUUAAGGAUUCCAAGAGCAACGCAGACCCAGCCCCAGCCUUAUCCCUGUGUCCAGGCCCAGUCUCUGCCUGUCCAGGCUCUGCCCCAGGGAGUCCAAGUCCCACCCCUGCAUUCUCGGACCCAAAACUCUGCAAACACCGACCUCACUAAAAGCUGCCGGCGGCACACCUCGACACCCCUCGACACCCCUCCUACAGAGGACACCCUCCCUGCCGGCCCGGGCCCAGCCCCUGGUCUGCUCACUUGGGGUAGAGGUUCUGCACCCAGAGCAGCAGCAUGUAGGUGUCGCGCUCGCACAGCUCGAACUGCGCCACGGCGGCCAGGUGGGCCGCGAAGUGCUGGUGGUAGCUCUCGGCGUAGGCCGCCACGACGCCGAACUCGGCGGGGAACAGCGGCUUCAGCCGCUCCACCACGGCCUCCAGGUCCUCCUUCAUGGUGCGGCCCAAGUGCAGAAAGACGCUCUCGGGGACCUCGGCGCCCGCGGCCGGCCGCUGGCCCAUGCGCUCCUCGGCCGCCUCCGCCACGCCGCGCCGCCACAGCUGCAGCCAGCGCCGCGGGCGCGUGGCCGCCAGCCCCGAGGUCCCCGGCCCCGCCGCCGCCGCCUGGCGGUCCUCGCGCUCCUGCUCCGCCACCACGGCCAGCGCCUGGCGCAGCCGCUCGGGCGGCGCCUCCAGCGGCCGCCGCAGCACGCCCAGCACCUGGUCGCGCAGCAGCUCGUACAGCGCCUCCACCUUGCUCUGGCGCCGCACCAGCUCCUCCUCGCUCACACCGCCCGCCGCCGCCGCCGCCGCCAGCUCCCGCUCCAGCGCCAGCAGCGGCCGCGCCGCCUCCAGCUGCCCGCGCUCCAGCGCCGCCUUCAGCUCCUCCACUGCGCCGGGAAAGCCGCGUCAGCCCCGGCCCCAGCCCACCGCCCACCGGGCGGGGCGGCCAGCGCCAAGCGGGACCGUCCUCCCCUAGACGCGCACAGGGCCGGCGGCCAACACCCUAAAGGGUGAUGUCGGUGUCCCUGACUAGGCUGAAGGCCUCCCAGCCCCCCAGAUUGCGGCACAGGUGAAAGCAGGGAGACAGACGCGCCUUCCAGCCCCACUUGCCGGCCCACUGUGCAAGUGGCUCACUCACGCGGAUGAGCGCCAACCCCGUCCAGGCCCCAGACUAGCUCUAACCCAGGGUCCUAGAGCACCUGUGGGGGGCGGGCCAUCCAGCCCCUGCCUGGACCCGGCUGCGUCCUCGGGCUCCGCUGAGCUGGGCUGACCCUUCUUCUUCUUCCCUUUGGUGAAGACGCAGAACACAUUGGCCAGGCCUUUGGACUUCUUCUUCUUCUCCUUCUUCUUCUUCGCCGCCUCUUCCUCCUCCCUAUAUGGGGCUGCCCCAGCCUCCAGGGGUGGCACCAGGUCCUCAGAGGAGGCCUCCGACAUGGAGGCCUCUGACUCUGCCUCUGAUGUGGACUGCAACUUUUGGGGGCCUCUAGGCAAGUCGAGGGUGCCUGGCACAGGCUGAUGGCUCUAGAGGCCUUGGAAGAAGGUCAUCAUCUUCAGCAUCACCCUGGUUCAGGCCUGCAGGCUCCUGCGGGGUGGGGGUGAAGGCAUCAGUGGUCACCAUGGACCGGCCCUGGCUCCCAGGCUGGACACACAGCUAUGCUGGCUGCAUUGAGUACACUCAGUCUGUUUCACCCAUUCAGCCACCGGGGCUCUGCUCAUCUCCUGGCCCAGAUGAGCACCAACAACUGUGCUUCCUCCCUGGCCACGAGCAUCUCACCAUCUACAGCUCCCCUUCCAAUACUUCACAGCCCCAGAAGCAAGGAAGAGGCUGGGGACGCCAAGCCCGCCACACAGAGGGGGACUUUCACUUUACUUGGGCAAAUCCUUCCCUGCCAGCCCACCCUCUGGGCAGGAAGCAGGCAAUGGACACCUCCCUGGAUCCCACGGGACCCUAGGGAAGAGGCGGGGCAUGGGCUCUGUCCCUUUGGACAGAGCAGGAACAGAGGUCCAGAAAGGUCUGGGACAUGCCGGGGUCUAGAACACCAGAACCGGCCUGAGACUGGAACCCAGCCUCCUCCUGCCCAGACCCAGCCCCUCUGCCAUCUUGUCCAGUUCUGAUCCAGCGGUGGGGUCACAGAAACACAGCUGCUCCAGCUGGGCCAUGAAAGGGGCAGAGCCUGACCAGGAUCUACAGAAGCCACAGUGGGUGGGACCUCAGACAGCCUUUCACACAUCACUGGGGCAAGGGGCUCAGCAAGUCACAGGGCGGCCUGAAGUCACACAGCAACUCGGGUCCAGAACCCAGGCUUCCUGGCUCCCACCCCCUCCCAAAUGGGAUCGUAGCAUCAUCACAAAGGCUUCCAGUUUCUGCAGCCUUCCUGGGUGCCCAUCCCAUCUCUUCCUUUCUCUCAUCUGGAAGGGUGUUAUUUCGGCUUAAACUGUCCCUAUAGUCAAUAGCUUGGGCUUGGAACUCAGGCCACCCGGUCCCAGAGCCCAGCUUUCCCCUGCCUCCACAUCCCCAGCUAUCCUGCAAGCUACAUCCAGAGAGGCAAGACCCGAGCUUCCCCAGAGUCCCUGCCCAGCACCUGACCAUUGUCAGAGCAAGGCCAGGUCCACUGGAGAAGAGCAUGGCUGAUCUGAAAGGGGGAAGCAGGCAGGGGCUGGGCCUCCCCAAGAACUGGGGUGACCUGUAACCUUGAUGCCACCUGUCUGCCCCACCCCAAGACUAAAUGCAUGCAGCCUUGUCUCAUGUAUCAUGGUAACUUCAAGUGACCCCUGAAACAGCCCUGCAAGGCAGGCAGGAUGAUCCACCAUCCAGAAGGAGAAACUGAGGCUGAGUAGGAGGUGUUUGCCCCAAGCACAGCAGCCAUGGAGGCUCAGACUGGGCCCAUCCGACUCUUCCCAUGGCCCCGCUGCCUCCACCAGCCCCACUACCCUGUCCCCAUCCUGGAGGGGCUUGGCCAGAGCCACCUGAGGGACAGGAAGCCUGGGCUCCUCCCACCCCCAGCCCCUGCCAUGCUCACCCAGUGCCCUGGGCAGAGUCCCACACUCCUGGAUGGCACUGGCCUCCCUAGUGCCAUUUGGGUUGAGCAUUCCACUCCAGGACCAAGAGGGGCAUGCUCCAGGGAGCCCCAGGGGCAAGGCCAUGGGGCACCU
rnacentral:lncRNA from 1 species